rnacentral:rRNA from 1 species
AUUGAACGCUGGCGGCAUGCCUUACACAUGCAAGUCGAACGGCAGCACGGGUGCUUGCACCUGGUGGCGAGUGGCGAACGGGUGAGUAAUACAUCGGAACAUGUCCUGUAGUGGGGGAUAGCCCGGCGAAAGCCGGAUUAAUACCGCAUACGAUCUACGGAUGAAAGCGGGGGACCUUCGGGCCUCGCGCUAUAGGGUUGGCCGAUGGCUGAUUAGCUAGUUGGUGGGGUAAAGGCCUACCAAGGCGACGAUCAGUAGCUGGUCUGAGAGGACGACCAGCCACACUGGGACUGAGACACGGCCCAGACUCCUACGGGAGGCAGCAGUGGGGAGUUUUGGACAAUGGGCGAAAGCCUGAUCCAGCAAUGCCGCGUGUGUGAAGAAGGCCUUCGGGUUGUAAAGCACUUUUGUCCGGAAAGAAAUCCUUGGCCCUAAUACGGUCGGGGGAUGACGGUACCGGAAGAAUAAGCACCGGCUAACUACGUG